GAACAACUCACUCUGGACACAGAUCCAGUUAACUGACCAGUCUGAUUUUUAGGAAGAAACGACUCAGUCUGGACACAGAUGCUAAAUUGAGAUGUAUUCUCAUCAAUAACCGCAUUAGAGCCACAUUUUUAUAGUGCAAAAGCAAUGUGCAAAAAUGUACGGUUAAAAUCUGGUUAGUUGGAUUUCAUUUAACACAUUUCUUCAACGAUGUGUGUUUAUAAAGAGACGUCUGUUAAGGCAUCGCUCCGUUUACUGAACUCUGGUGAGGCAAUCGCCUCUUUUAUAACGCGUAUUGUUGAAGAAAAGUUUUCAAAUUAAAUCUCACUGUGAGAUUAUAAUGAGGUUUACUGUCAUUUUUUUUAAAUUUUCCACAAUGUUUUUUUUUUUUUUGCGCUGUGAAAAUAGGAACCGUUAAUCAGGGUCUGGGAACCUUCCCCUGUUGAUGUUGAUGAAAUGGAAACAGAGUGGGUCUCGUAGAAACUGUCUGAAUCCCAAAUGACACCCAGUUCCUGAAUUAGUCCACUAGUUUUGAUCACAAACCAAUGUAGAGCUCUGGUCAACAAGUAAUGCGCUUAUAUAGGGAAUAGGGUGCCAUUUGGGAUUGAGACACUAUUGUUCAACUGAAAAUAUAAUUUGAUCAGGAGGUCUUUUAAAUGUUUUUAUUGUGUCCGACAGCCUUCAUCCAAAACGGGGAUGUGCACGCAGGUAUACCAGUAACCACAGAGGGUUUAGCCAAUCAGAGCUCUGGUUGAAAGUAGUGCACUACUACAGUAACCACAGAGGGUUUAGCCAAUCAGAGCUCUGGUUGAAAGUAGUGCACUACUACAGUAACCACAGAGGGUUUAGCCAAUCAGAGCUCUGGUUGAAAGUAGUGCACUACUACAGUAACCACAGAUGGUUUAGCCAAUCAGAGCUCUGGUUGAAAGUAGUGCACUACUACAGUAACCACAGAGGGUUUAGCCAAUCAGAGCUCUGGUUGAAAGUAGUGCACUACUACAGUAACCACAGAGGGUUUAGCCAAUCAGAGCUCUGGUUGAAAGUAGUGCACUACUACAGUAACCACAGAGGGUUUAGCCAAUCAGGGCUCUGGUUGAAAGUAGUGCACUACUACAGUAACCACAGAGGGUUUAGCCAAUCAGAGCUCUGGUUGAAAGUAGUGCACUACUACAGUAACCACAGAGGGUUUUGCCCAUCAGAGCUCUGGUUAAAAGUAGUGCACUAUAUAGGGAACAGGGCUCCAUUUGGGGAGUAG
rnacentral:lncRNA from 1 species